rnacentral:rRNA from 1 species
UACGUAGGUGGCAAGCGUUGUCCGGAAUUAUUGGGCGUAAAGCGCGCGCAGGUGGUUUCUUAAGUCUGAUGUGAAAGCCCACGGCUCAACCGUGGAGGGUCAUUGGAAACUGGGGAACUUGAGUGCAGGAGAGAAGAGUGGAAUUCCACGUGUAGCGGUGAAAUGCGUAGAGAUGUGGAGGAACACCAGUGGCGAAGGCGGGUCUCUGGGCCGAAUGACGCUGAGGAGCGAAAGCGUGGGGAG